AGAACGAACGCUGGCGGCAUGCCUAACACAUGCAAGUCGAACGAGACCUUCGGGUCUAGUGGCGCACGGGUGCGUAACGCGUGGGAAUCUGCCCUUGGGUUCGGAAUAACAGUUGGAAACGACUGCUAAUACCGGAUGAUGACGUAAGUCCAAAGAUUUAUCGCCCGAGGGAUGAGCCCGCGUAGGAUUAGCUAGUUGGUGAGGUAAAGGCUCACCAAGGCGACGAUCCUUAGCUGGUCUGAGAGGAUGAUCAGCCUACACUGGGACUGAGACACGGCCCAGACUCCUACGGGAGGCAGCGAGUGGGAAUAGUUGGACAAGUGGGCGAAAGGCCUAGGAUACCAGCAAAGUGACCGCGUGACGGUGAGU
rnacentral:rRNA from 1 species